rnacentral:rRNA from 1 species
AGCGAAUAGAUACCCCGGUAGUCCACGCUGUAAACGAUGGGUACUAGGUUUGGUGGGUCUUGACCCCGCCGAACCGGGCGCUAAACGCACUAAAGUACCCCGCCUGGGAAGUACGGUCGCAAGACUAAAACUACAAGGAAUUGACGGGGGCCCGGCACAAGCGGUGGAUCAUGUGGUUUAAUUCGAAGCAACGCGAAGAACCUUACCUGGAUUUGACAUCCUCUGACAACCCUACGAGAUAGGGCUUCUGUAGCAAUACAGCAGAGAGACAGGUGCUGCAUGGCUGUCGUCAGCUCGUGUGGUGACAUGUUGGGUUAAGUCCCGCAACGAGCGCAACCCUUGUCCUUAGUUGCCAGCAUUCAGUUGGGCUCUCUAAGGAGACUGCCGUGGUUAACACGGAGGAAGGUGGGGAUGACGUCAAGUCCUCAU